AGAUGGCUUUAGCUAUCACUCUGGGAUGGACCUGCGGUGCAUUAGCUAGUUGGUAAGGUAACGGCUUACCAAGGCGAUGAUGCAUAGCCGAGUUGAGAGACUGAUCGGCCACAAUGGAACUGAGACACGGUCCAUACUCCUACGGGAGGCAGCAGUAGGGAAUCUUCCACAAUGGGCGCAAGCCUGAUGGAGCAACACCGCGUGAGUGAAGAAGGGUUUCGGCUCGUAAAGCUCUGUUGUUGGAGAAGAACGUGCGUGAGAGUAACUGUUCACGCAGUGACGGUAUCCAACCAGAAAGUCACGGCUAACUACGUGCCAGCAGCCGCGGUAAUACGUAGGUGGCAAGCGUUAUCCGGAUUUAUUGGGCGUAAAGCGAGCGCAGGCGGUUGCUUAGGUCUGAUGUGAAAGCCUUCGGCUUAACCGAAGAAGUGCAUCGGAAACCGGGCAACUUGAGUGCAGAGGAGGACAGUGGAACUCCAUGUGUAGCGGUGGAAUGCGUAGAUAUAUGGAAGAACACCAGUGGCGAAGGCGGCUGUCUGGUCUGCAACUGACGCUGAGGCUCGAAAGCAUGGGUAGCGAACAGGAUUAGAUACCCUGGUAGUCCAUGCCGUAAACGAUGAGUGCUAGGUGUUGGAGGGUUUCCGCCCUUCA
rnacentral:rRNA from 1 species